GAGUUUGAUCAUGGCUCAGGACGAACGCUGGCGGCGUGCUUAACACAUGCAAGUCGAGGGCACUGGUUUCGGCCAGUGACCGGCGAACGGGUGCGUAACACGUGAGCGACCUGCCCAACUGCGGGGGAUAGCCGGCCCAACGGCCGGGUAAUACCGCAUACGCUCUCUGGGGGGCAUCUCCUGGGGAGGAAACUUCCGGGGCGGUUGGAGGGGCUCGCGGCCUAUCAGCUAGUUGGGGGGGUAACGCCUCCCAAGGCGACGACGGGUAGCUGGUCUGAGAGGAUGGCCAGCCACAUUGGGACUGAGAGACGGCCCAGACUCCUACGGGAGGCAGCAGUGGGGAAUCUUGCGCAAUGGCCGCAAGGCUGACGCAGCGACGCCGCGUGGAGGAUGACGCCCCUC
rnacentral:rRNA from 1 species